CAGGUUCCUCCCAUCAUCUACACUUGCAGCUUCAUUGUAUCUGUUAUUCUACAGGAGAUUGCAUGGACUGGCCAACGCCUGAAGGCCUACUACUCUGCUGGUGGCAUUAUUUGGAUAUUUUCUGAUGCAGCAAUCAUUUUCUUACCUAGAAGCAUGAGUGCUUUCAUGUACAUAAUAUCAAUAUUUAUUGGUGUCGCAAAUGCUUUGAUGAUGGUUCCCAUUUGUUAAAAAAGUAUCAUGAUGGGAAAUAGUAUUGAAGAUGAUGAUGAUGAU